AUGCGCGAAGAGCCCUCCUUAUAUUGCAGGAGGCCCGGGCCGGCGGGAGCAGGAAGGUUCCCAGCCACUGGAUCACAGGACGUGGAUGUGAGUCAACUAACCGAGAAGUUCAAUCUGGAAACUCGGGCAUGCGGUGGAAAUGUGGUCUGCCCUGCCUCCUGUGACUGUGACCUUGAGCGGCGACGCCCCUGCCUCAGUUUCCUCAUGCCCUGGCGGGGGUGGGAAGUCUCGACGGGAGACCCUGACCAAGCCCGGGGCGCCCCAGGGCGGGACCUGGAGGCCGAGGGGGCACGCGGCGUUGCGGGGGGCCGCGGAGCGAGACGAGCGGGAAAGGAGGAAAGCAAGGGGCGCCAGGGACAGCGGAGGCGGGGGGGCGAGCGAGGAGCGCUGGGCAGCGACGCGCGGGGCGACAGGACGGGGCUGAAGACCCCGAGCGGCGGGCGGUCACUCACCGAGCGGCGGCGGCGGCGACGGCGCUCCGGGCGGCCCCGGCCAUCCAGCAGCGGCGCCGCGCCCCGCCCCGGGUCUGCCCCGCCCGCCGGGGCCUCCGGCCCCCAGCCCGGAGCCGCCCCCGCCGCGCGGCCACGUCACACGGGACCUGUCCGGAACCCGACGCGCCGCGCGCCGCGGGGUCGGGGGGGAGCGGCGGUCGCGGGGCGCUUCCGUCUCGCGGCCGUGGGGGACCCGGGAGGCCGGCGCACUUCCGCCCGGACGGACACUGGAGGGGGGCGGCGGGGAGGGCCGGGCGGAAGUGGGAGCCCCAGGGGCCCGGCGCUCAGCCCCGCUGCGCAGGGCGGGGGCGGGGGCGGCGGCCCCGCAGGGACCGCGAGCGGCGGGGUGGCUGGGCUUGCGGGUCCGGCCGCCGCUUCCUUUCCCGGGGCCGCAGUCCCGCCCGCGGCCGCGCGGGGGCGCGCUCGGCUGCCAGGCGGCCCGCGCUGCCGGGAGCCGGGCCCGGCCGGGUGGGUUCCUGGCUCGGCUGCUCCUGCUCUGAGUCAAACGGGCCUGGCUCCUCCAUGA
rnacentral:lncRNA from 1 species